rnacentral:rRNA from 1 species
GACGAACGCUGGCGGCGUGCUUAACACAUGCAAGUCGAGCGGAAAACUUCGGUUUUCAGCGGCGGACGGGUGAGUAACACGUGGGCAACCUGCCUCACAAUGAGGGAUAGCCUUCCGAAAGGAAGAUUAAUACCUCAUAACACAAGAGAAACGCAUGUUUCUCUUGCCAAAGAAUUUCGUUGUGAGAUGGGCCCGUGGCGCAUUAGCUUGUUGGUGAGGUAACGGCUCACCAAGGCUUCGAUGCGUAGCCGACCUGAGCGGGUGAUCGGCCACAUUGGAACUGAGACACGGUCCAGACUCCUACGGGAGGCAGCAGUGGGGAAUAUUGCACAAUGGAGGAAACUCUGAUGCAGCAACGCCGCGUGAGUGAUGAAGGUCUUCGGAUUGUAAAACUUUGUCUUCUGGGACGAUAAUGACGGUACCAGAGGAGGAAGCCACGGCUAACUACGUGCCAGCAGCCGCGGUAA